GAUGAACGCUGGCGGCGUGCCUAAUACAUGCAAGUCGAGCGAACAGACGAGGAGCUUGCUCCUCUGACGUUAGCGGCGGACGGGUGAGUAACACGUGGAUAACCUACCUAUAAGACUGGGAUAACUUCGGGAAACCGGAGCUAAUACCGGAUAAUAUAUUGAACCGCAUGGUUCAAUAGUGAAAGACGGUUUUGCUGUCACUUAUAGAUGGAUCCGCGCCGCAUUAGCUAGUUGGUAAGGUAACGGCUUACCAAGGCCACGAUGCGUAGCCGACCUGAGAGGGUGAUCGGCCACACUGGAACUGAGACACGGUCCAGACUCCUACGGGAGGCAGCAGUAGGGAAUCUUCCGCAAAGGGCGAAAGCCUGACGGAGCAACGCCGCGUGAGUGAUGAAGGUCUUCGGAUCGUAAAACUCUGUUAUUAGGGAAGAACAAAUGUGUAAGUAACUAUGCACGUCUUGACGGUACCUAAUCAGAAAGCCACGGCUAACUACGUG
rnacentral:rRNA from 1 species